GUGGGAAAGGAGGUGGAUAUUCACAGACAACCAGGAGGUUGGCUUAGAAGCAGCCAUACCUUGAAAGAGUGCGUAAUAGCUCACUGGUCGAGAGUAUCUGCGCCGAAGAUAUAACGGGGCUAAGACAUGAACCGAAGCCGCGGAAUUAGUUUAUGCUAAUUGGUAGGAGAGCGUUCUGUAGGCCGUAGAAGGGGUGUUGUAAGACAUUCUGGAGGUAUCAGAAGUGAGAAUGCAGGAAUGAGUAGCGAGAAGGAGGGCGAGAAUCCCUCCGGCCGGAAGUCCAAGGUUUCCAGGGGAAGGUUUGUCCGCCCUGGGGGAGUCGGGACCUAAGCAUAAGCAGAGCUGCGAAGGCGAAUGGAAAACAGGUUAAUAUUCCUGUACCGCUGUGUACUGUCUGAGAGAUGGAGUGACGCAGGAAGGUAUGCGGGAAGGCUGACGGAAUAGCCUUUCUAAGGGUGAAGCGUGGACAUGCAGGCAAAUCCGCAUGUUUAUACGUGAGGCCUGAUGGGGAAGUGCCAUAUGGCAUAAGCCGCAGAUCCUACACUGCCGGGAAAAACUUCUAUUGAGGGAAACAGCGCCCGUACUGUAAACCGACACAGGUGGACAGAGUGAGAAACUUAAGGCCGACAGGACAACUCUGGCUAAGGA
rnacentral:rRNA from 1 species